rnacentral:rRNA from 1 species
GUGGGGAAUCUUGCGCAAUGGGCGAAAGCCUGACGCAGCCAUGCCGCGUGAAUGAUGAAGGUCUUAGGAUUGUAAAAUUCUUUCACCGGGGACGAUAAUGACGGUACCCGGAGAAGAAGCCCCGGCUAACUUCGUGCCAGCAGCCGCGGUAAUACGAAGGGGGCUAGCGUUGCUCGGAAUUACUGGGCGUAAAGGGCGCGUAGGCGGACAGUUUAGUCAGAGGUGAAAGCCAAGGGCUCAACCUUGGAAUUGCCUUUGAUAGUUGCUGUAUGGAGUACGGGAGAUGUGAUUGGAACUCCGAGUGUAGAGGUGAAAUUCGUAGAUAUUCGGAAGAACACCAGUGGCGAAGGCGACUCACUGACCCGUUACUGACGCUGGGGCGCGAGAGCGUGGGGAGCAAACAGAAUUAGAAACCCUGGUAGUCC